GACGAACGCUGGCGGCGUGCUUAACACAUGCAAGUCGAACGGAAAGGCCCUGCUUUUGUGGGGUGCUCGAGUGGCGAACGGGUGAGUAACACGUGAGUAACCUGCCCUUGACUUUGGGAUAACUUCAGGAAACUGGGGCUAAUACCGGAUAGGAGCUCCUGCUGCAUGGUGGGGGUUGGAAAGUUUCGGCGGUUGGGGAUGGACUCGCGGCUUAUCAGCUUGUUGGUGGGGUAGUGGCUUACCAAGGCUUUGACGGGUAGCCGGCCUGAGAGGGUGACCGGCAAAAUUGGACCGGGGAUCGGGCCAGGCUUCUACGGGGGGGAAGAGGGGGGGAAAAUGGAACAAGGGCGGGAGGCUGGAUGAAGAACGCCGGGGGCGGGGAUAAGGGCUUCGGGGUUGAAACCGCUUUCGCCUGUGACGAAGCGUGAGUGACGGUAAUGGGUAAAGAAGCACCGGCUAACUACGUG
rnacentral:rRNA from 1 species